UAAGAGAAUGGAAUUUCAGAAAAAAACUUUUUUCAAGUUAAAAAUUGAAAUUUUUUUAAUUUGUGCAGAAACAAUUAUUAAUAUUAAGGACAAGAAGACCCUAUGAAUUUAUAAAUUUUAUUUAAUAUGUAACUACUAUUAAAAAAAUUUUAGCUGGGGCGGCGGAAAAAUAUUUAAAACUUUUUUAAAAUAAAAUGACCCAUUAUUAAUGAUUAUAUGUUAAAUACUCUAGGGAUAACAGCGUUAUAUUUUUUGAUAGAUCAUAUUGACAAAAAAGUUUGCGACCUCGAUGUUGGAUUAGGAUACUUUUUUAAUGCAGAUAUUAAAAAAAGAAGUUUG
rnacentral:rRNA from 1 species